rnacentral:rRNA from 1 species
CAACCUGCCGCUUACUCGGGGAUAGCCUUUCGAAAGAAAGAUUAAUACCCGAUGGUAUAAAGAGUUCGCAUGUUCUCUUUAUUUAAGAAUUUCGGUAAGCGAUGGGGAUGCGUUCCAUUAGAUAGUUGGCGGGGUAACGGCCCACCAAGUCUACGAUGGAUAGGGGUUCUGAGAGGAAGGUCCCCCACAUUGGAACUGAGACACGGUCCAAACUCCUACGGGAGGCAGCAGUGAGGAAUAUUGGUCAAUGGACGAGAGUCUGAACCAGCCAAGUAGCGUGAAGGAUGACUGCCCUAUGGGUUGUAAACUUCUUUUAUAAGGGAAUAAAGUGAGGGACGUGUCCCUUUUUGUGUGUACCUUAUGAAUAAGGAUCGGCUAACUCCGUGCCAGCAGCCGCGGUAAUACGGAGGAUCCAAGCGUUAUCCGGAUUUAUUGGGUUUAAAGGGAGCGUAGGUUGACAUAUAAGUCAGCUGUGAAAGUUUACGGCUCAACCGUGAAAUUGCAGUUGAUACUGUAUGUCUUGAGUGUACAAGAGGUGGGCGGAAUUCGUGGUGUAGCGGUGAAAUGCUUAGAUAUCACGAAGAACUCCGAUUG